GAUGAACGCUAGCUACAGGCUUAACACAUGCAAGUCGAGGGGAAACGACAUCGAAAGCUUGCUUUUGAUGGGCGUCGACCGGCGCACGGGAGAGUAACGCGUAUCCAACCUGCCCAUCACUUGGGAAUAACCUUGCGAAAGUAAGACUAAUACCCAAUGACAUCCCACGAAGACAUCUGAAUGGGAUUAAAGAUUUAUCGGUGAUGGAUGGGGAUGCGUCUGAUUAGCUUGUUGGCGGGGUAACGGCCCACCAAGGCAACGAUCAGUAGGGGUUCUGAGAGGAAGGUCCCCCACAUGGGAACUGAGACCCGGUCCAAACUCCUACGGGAGGCAGUAGUGAGGAAUAUUGGUCAAUGGACGAGAGCCUGAUCCAGCCAAGUAGCGUGCAGGAUGACGGCCCUAUGGGUUGUAAACUGCUUUUAUAAGGGAAUAAAGUGGGUCUCGUGAGACUUUUUGCAUGUACCUUAUAAAUAAGGACCGGCUAAUUCCGUG
rnacentral:rRNA from 1 species